AGCCCUGUAGUCUAGCGGCCAAGGAUAUAGGCCUUUGGAGCCUGAGACCCAGGUUCGAAUCCUGGCAGGGCUA
rnacentral:tRNA from 1 species